GCAAAAAAUCGCGCGCCCCCCCACCCCUGGGAAUUGAAGGAAGAUACAAAGACUUUGUUGGAGGUUUUUUGGGUGAAGGGAAGUUUUCCCAGCCUCGAAACUUGGAAGAAUUGGCAGUUUGAGGCUUUGUUUACAACAUGGAUGCCAGCUGAUAAUGGUCAGGAUCCUGUGUUUUUUGCAGUGGAGGCUGAAAAAAAGACCAAACUUCCAUCUGCGCAUCCAAGGCACUACGUGAUCUUCUAGGGGGUGCAUCUUUAUGGGGAUGGUUGCAGAGGGGGAACUCACGUCUAUAGAACUCCAUGAAGUUCUUGAUGUCAGUAUCUGCAGAUGCAAAAAAAAAAGGGCCUUAGACCUCGUGACAAUGCUGAGGGGGAAUCCUUCGUAGUCGUCAACGAGGUCGGCAGCAACAUUAGCAGGAAUGGAGGUGAGUGAUUCGAUA